AGAGUUUGAUCCUGGCUCAGGAUGAACGCUAGCGGCAGGCUUAACACAUGCAAGUCGAGGGGUAACAGAAAAAAGCUUGCUUUUUUGCUGACGACCGGCGAACGGGUGCGUAACACGUAUGCAACCUACCCUUUACAGGGAGAUAGCCCAGAGAAAUCUGGAUUAAUAUCCCAUAACAUCAGUUUGCUUCAUGGCAGAUUGAUUAAAGCUCCGGCGGUAAAGGAUGGGCAUGCGUCCCAUUAGUUUGUUGGUGAGGUAACGGCUCACCAAGACUACGAUGGGUAGGGGUUCUGAGAGGAUGAUCCCCCACACUGGUACUGAGACACGGACCAGACUCCUACGGGAGGCAGCAGUGAGGAAUAUUGCGCAAUGGACGAAAGUCUGACGCAGCCAUGCCGCGUGCAGGAUGACUGCCCUAUGGGUUGUAAACUGCUUUUAUGUGCCAAGAAACCCCUUCUCGUGAGGAGGGCUGACGGUAGCACACGAAUAAGGACCGGCUAACUCCGUGCCAGCAGCCGCGGUAAUACGGAGGGUCCAAGCGUUAUCCGGAUUUAUUGGGUUUAAAGGGUCCGUAGGCGGAUCUUUAAGUCAGUGGUGAAAGCCUGCAGCUUAACUGUAGAAUUGCCAUUGAUACUGGAGAUCUUGAGUUUAAUUGAAGUUAGCGGAAUGUGUCAUGUAGCGGUGAAAUGCAUAGAGAUGACACAGAACACCGAUUGCGAAGGCAGCUAACUAAGUUAAUACUGACGCUGAGGGACGAAAGCGUGGGGAGCGAACAGGAUUAGAUACCCUGGUAGUCCACGCCGUAAACGAUGAUCACUCGAUAUCGGGCCUUGUGCUCGGUGUCCUAGCGAAAGUGUUAAGUGAUCCACCUGGGGAGUACGAUCGCAAGAUUGAAACUCAAAGGAAUUGACGGGGGCCCGCACAAGCGGUGGAGCAUGUGGUUUAAUUCGAUGAUACGCGAGGAACCUUACCAAGGCUUAAAUGCAGAGCGACAGUUAUGGAAACAUUUCUUUCUUCGGACGGUCUGCAAGGUGCUGCAUGGUUGUCGUCAGCUCGUGCCGUGAGGUGUCGGGUUAAGUCCCAUAACGAGCGCAACCCCUAUUUCUAGUUGCCAGCGGAUAAUGCCGGGGACUCUAGAGAAACUGCCCGUGUAAACGGUGAGGAAGGUGGGGAUGACGUCAAAUCAUCACGGCCCUUACGUCUUGGGCUACACACGUGCUACAAUGGUAGAGACAGAGAGUCGCAAACUGGUGACAGUAAGCUAAUCUUCAAACUUUAUCUCAGUUCGGAUCGAAGUCUGCAACUCGACUUCGUGAAGUUGGAAUCGCUAGUAAUCGCGUAUCAGCCAUGACGCGGUGAAUACGUUCCCGGGCCUUGUACACACCGCCCGUCAAACCAUGGAAGCUGGGGGUACCUGAAGUACGCUACCGCAAGGAGCGUCCUAGGGUAAAUCUGGUAACUGGGGUUAAGUCGAAACAAGGUA
rnacentral:rRNA from 1 species